CCUAAUGCAGAGCAGCCAAGGCAAAACGACAAUUGCAGACGCAUAAGUGACCGAUGGCCGUUGGAGCAGACGUGUCCUGGAGUGAAGACUGCGUGUUGGCAAACGCAGUGAGGGACGUCCUUCGGCCCGCUGGUCUGGAUGAGGAUUGCGGAAAACUGGGGUUUCUGGCGCGAACUUGGAGAGGCAUAUGUCCAUUAGACUGCAAUAGACUGAACUGACUUACUGACAUAUAGAAAUAACAUAUCUUUACCCAAUACACCAUUAAUGUUAUACGAGCAGUUUUUGCUGUGGCAUGAGGAGUCUCGGCACCCAGAUGUCUGAUCUUAGUCAUGCCAAGACGCUCGUGAAUAAUUAUAAAAAUUUUCAUAUAUAUACUGUAACUACUUCUCAGUUAUUUCUUUUCUAGUUGGACAUCUUCCAAUACUCAAAUUCUUCAACGUUUUAAAGGAUUUUUGGAGUGCUCCCUUCAGUGGACCGUACCGGCCAUGAAUUGUCUUCUAGUGAUUCGUGGCCUUGCUUAGAGGCACU
rnacentral:misc_RNA from 1 species